GGUAACACCGGCAGCCCGAGUGGUGAUCACUAUUAUUGGGUCUAAAGGGUCCGUAGCCGGUUUAAUCAGUCUUCUGGGAAAUCUAAUCGCUUAACUAUUAGGCUUCCAGGGGAUACUGUUAGACUUGGGACCGGGAGAGGUAAGAGGUACUGCAGGGGUAGGAGUGAAAUCUUGUAAUCCCUGUGAGACCACCAGUGGCGAAGGCGUCUUACCAGAACGGGUCCGACGGUGAGGGACGAAAGCUGGGGGCACGAACCGGAUUAGAUACCCGGGUAGUCCCAGCUGUAAACGAUGCUCGUUAGGUGUCAGGAACGGUGCGACUGUUUCUGGUGCCGAAGGGAAGCCGUGAAACGAGCCACCUGGGAAGUACGGCCGCAAGGCUGAAACUUAAAGGAAUUGGCGGGGGAGCACUACAACGGGUGGAGCCUGCGGUUUAAUUGGACUCAACGCCGGAAAACUCACCGGGGGCGACAGCAAUAUGUAGGUCAGGUUAAAGGUCUUACCUGAAUCGCUGAGAGGAGGUGCAUGGCCGUCGUCAGUUCGUACUGUGAAGCAUCCUGUUAAGUCAGGCAACGAGCAAGACCCGUGCCCACUGUUACCAGCAUAUCCUUUAUGGAUGAUGGGGACUCUGUGGGGACCGCUGCUGCUAAAGCAGAGGAAGGUGCGGGCUACGGUAGGUCAGUAUGCCCCGAAUCUCCCGGGCUACACGCGGGCUACAAUGGUUGGGACAAUGGGUAUCUACUCCGAAAGGAGUUGGCAAUCUCUUAAACCCAAUCGUAGUUCGAAUUGAGGGCUGUAACUCGCCCUCAUGAAGCUGGAAUCCGUAGUAAUCGCGUUUCAACAUAGCGC
rnacentral:rRNA from 1 species